rnacentral:tRNA from 1 species
AGAAACUUAGGAUAGAACAAAACCAAAGGCCUUCAAAGCCUUAAACAAGAGUUAAACCCUCUUAGUUUCUG